rnacentral:lncRNA from 1 species
CAGAUAUAAUCAAAUGCAAAAUCAUUACAUGAUUGUACCUUCUUUUUUUUUGGUCUUUUUAAGGCUGCAGCUGAGACAUAUGGAAAGUUCCCCAGCUAGGGGUCGAAUAGGAGCUGCCGCUUCUGGUCUACACCCCGGCCACGGCAACCCCACAUCCAGGCCGUGUCUGUGACCUACACCACAGCUCAUGACAAUGCCAGAUCCUUAACCCACUGAGCGAGGCCAGGGAUCAAACUCACAUCCUCAUGGAUCCUAGUUGGGUUUGCAACCCGCUGAGACACAACAGGAAGUCCCUAAAAUGAUUGUCCUUUUAACGUGAGGAUGUAAGUGGACUAGCUGUCAUGCUUUCUAGUUAGUUCUAAUAGACUUUUCAUGAGCCGGGAAGUUACAAAACAGUAGUUACAAUGACAUAUAAUUUAGUUUCAUAUUAUCUUGCACAAGAGAAAUUCUUAUAAAUUAAUUUAAAAAUACUGUGUGAAAGGGAAUGAGGUUUUGAAGGAGAAGUCUUGGGUUUGGGUUCUGGGUGGACCGUUGAACUCUUCAUCCUCAGCCAGCUCAUUGUCAUGGGCUUCCAGAGAAAUGAUCUAUUAAGAAGUGCUGCUAAGAGUAACUCUUCCAUUGAGUUGCUGAAAGAGCCUCGCGGAAAGCUAAUUUCUGUAAAAGAAUGCAGCCAGCUGCAGAGCUCAGUGCAAAUUUAGAGCUGUCAUAAAAGUAAUAGUCCUCGCUUUAAAUAGCAAUAUACAUACAUUUUUCUUUUAGAACUUUAUUCAUAAGAAAUUAAUAUGAAUAGUAAUAGUAAUUCUAUUACUCCAGUAGUAAUUCUAAUUCCUUCAGUAGUAAAACGAAGUGUAAUUUCUUUGCCUACAUUUGAUAGCAAGACAAUAAUGUUUAAGGCUUUCAUAGGUUUAAUAGAUAAUGGAGAUUAGAACUCUUUAAAAAUGAUCUCAUUUGUCCUUGAAUAAUAAAAAGACACUGCAGUCACAUUAGUAUUCCGUUGGCUUUUUUUAUUUUAUCCCAACUUUCUGAGCUAUUUCUUAAAGACUCAUUGAAUAUUUUGCCACCUCUUUGGGAACUCGCAAAAUGAUAUUUAGGGAAGGAUUCUUUUUUAGAACGUUACUAGGUAAGCAACAUGGGCAGAUGUGUUCCAGGUUCAUCCACCAUCCUGGUGACAGGUAAGGGCUCUUGGAAGAAAACCUCAGGAAGAGAUGAAAGGCCCUAUUUCUGGGGAAGGGGGCCUCUAGAAGGCAGAAGGCCCUCUUCUCAUGAAGGAAGCGCAUCUGCUGGAGGCCUGGAGAGGGGUCUUUGCCGAAGGGCAACGGGAGUCUUUGAGCAGCCGCUGGUCCAUUUCCUGUUAACACAAAGCCAUCAUUUCCCUCCUGAUGAAAGCACUUUGGAGCUCAGACUGGAUGACUUGGCGCUAAAGUCACCCUGCCUGGGAGUCUUUCUUCCCGGAUAGAGAGUGGGUUACUGAAGACCCAGGGAGAGAUGGGCUGGGGCGGUCUGCCUUCCGUGGCCUGUGCCCCUCCACCAAGGAUGAGAUUGAGGUGGGCAGGAGAGAGGAAAGAUGACGUCGCUGCUUCCUGGCCCUCUUUGAUUGGCCCCUAUGCUCCUCCAGCCUAUAACUCCUGCUGUUCUAAACGUGGGCAGUGUGGAAGACGUGAUGGUAGCUUGUCGUGACACCAGGCUCGGCUGAUGGACGGUCCACGUGCAGAGGGAACCCAUCCCAUGUGGUGUCAAACCCUAGUUUGCUGGGGAACCUUAGAGCAACGAGUAGACUUAGUGUCUUGAGCCAAAAAGCUGAAAGGCAAAAGAGAGUAAAGCUAUCAUCUCAAUGAGAAUGUCUUUCCUAAACCAUUCAGUCUUCUCAAAACAGGAUGGGUAAGAAAGUGUGUUGUGUUGCCAGCACGUGCUCAGAAACACGGUGGGGGCGUCAGACGUCCUGAGAGAGGACUACAUGGCUGGAGCAUCACACCCAUUCUCCUGGCCAGGAGUUUACAUCCAUCAGAUUGAAAAUACUGUGUCUCCAACGCAGCAUAAAGCAUGGCCAUGCAUCCUGGACCACCUUAGAAUUCGUUCUGCCCGGAAACAAUCCCUUUGUGUUUUCCAUCCCGUGGCAUGAUUCUCUGCCUGACUCUAGUUUUGGCAGAACUUUUGCUUCAGCCUGUCGUGUCGGAAUUCAGCUCAGGGCUGGGAUGUUUGCCUUCCGAGAAGUUACUGGCAAGCCCCCGCUCUUGGUUUGUUUUCAGAUUUGCUGGCUGGCUGAUCUCCAAGCUUGUCCAUCAGCCAGAAAGCAUGUAUUCUGCAAAUCACAACUGGAAAUCAUCCCUGGAGCCAGGCCAGGCUGCCCGUUUCGGAAGAUAAAGUGUGCUCCACGUGGGAAUCACAGCGACAGAAUGGAUGUGUUUUAUUUUUCAUAAUGCUUGAGCCGUAAAUGUGAGCUAACGAGAGAGAGCGCCUGUCAAAUACCUCACAGGUUAGGUGGGUAGUGGACAUGCCAAAUACAGUCCUUUCUCUUCUUCUUGUACCUCUUUUCUCCCUUCACUUUGCAAGUGAAGACGUAACGUGUUAGGGAUGGUUACCUAAAGCUUCUGAAAGGUCGUCAGUACGACACGGGGCGCGUGUGUGUGUGUGUGUGUGUGUGUGUGUGUGUGUGUGUGUGUGUGUAUAGGAUUACAGUGUCUAAUGGUACAUUUCCUGGGGACUAAGUUUAAGCUAUGCAAAAUGACAAGAGCAGUCUAAUGAUCACAAUGUAACACGCUGUCAAUUGAAGUGUAACUGCUUACCCUAAUGCCCCGUUGAAAGCUGAUAAGCAACUCUGCUUCGGAUACAAUGUAACGCCUAUCUUAGGACCACCUGAAGUGCAUGAGCAUCAAAGGUGGGAGCAAGGCCGAGGCCUUGAACACGUCCAUGACUCCACCACUGCUAGUAAGUACAUUUCUGAAUCCACCUCCACCAACUCCAUCAGGGCUUUAAACCCCCUUCUGCUGGAGCUUUUCCCCCGAUCUUGUAACCGAGCCGAUGCCCUAUGGGGCUCCUGGGCACACGAGCCUCGCUGUGUCCUCCAUGGCUUGUUUUUAGGAAGGAAGCCUCAGCCUCCAUGACCUACCCUAAGUUCCAAAGGGCAGGUUUACACAGAUGCAAGUCAGGGAAGGGAGGGGAAGCAGAGACUGGAGAGGAGGAGCCUUCAAGACGCAGUGGUGCAGGAGCGCCCGUCGUGGCUCUGUGGACUCAAAGCUGACUAGCAUCCAUGAGGAUGCAGGUUUGAACCUUGGCCUCUCGCAGUGGGUUAAGCAUCUGACGUUGCCAUGAGCUGUGGUGUAGGUUGCAGAUGCAGCUCAAUCUGAUGUUGCUGCAGCUGUGGCGUAGGCCGGCAGCUGCAGCGCCAAUUCAACCCCGAGCCUGGGAGCUUCCAUAUGCUGCAGGGUCAGCCCUAAAAAGCCAAAAAAGAAAAAAAA